GCAGGGCCCAGGACCCCUCUCAGAUGGGCUGAACGAUAGUCCUCCAAAGAUGUCCACUUCCUAAUCCCUGGGCCCUGUGAACGUGGCCUUGGAUGGCAGAGACUUUGCAGAUGGGACCAAAGUAAGGAUUUUAAGAUGGGGAGCGUACCCUGGUGGCCCUAAGUGCUGUGACAGGUGUCCUCCUAAGAAGGAGGCAAAGAAUGUUGAAGUGGUAAAUUUCAUCAUGUAUGUUUUUCCACAAAAUGAAAAAAGAGAGAGACGGAGAGAUUUUACACAGAGGAGCUCGUGUGAGGACAGAGGCCGGGGUCAGAGGGAUGUGGCCACAAGCCAAGGGACACUGGAGCCUCCAGGGGGCACAGCCCCGCGGUACCUGGGUUUCAGCCCAGCGGUACUGACCAUGGGCUUCGGGGCUCAGAACUGGAGGGAACGGUCCCCGUUACGGCCGCCAUGGGACACUGGAAUGCACAGAAUUAGUGGGGGACAGUGUCCAUCGGGAGAAAUCACCCUGUUUCUGUCUGGGGUGUGCCCGCUGUCAAGCAGCCCAGGCACCCAGGCCAGCCCCACCCUGGGAAGCGACUGUCACCUGGAAGCACAUUCCCAGUGGCAUUUACGGGGCCUCCCCGAGACUCACGCUGCAUGCUGGGGGGCCCCUGGUGGUGCCCAGGGAUUUCCGGAGGGCAUGGAGGGGAGUGAGGGGCCAGUGUGGUCUGGGGAGGGGAGCCACAGCAGCCUGGCCACGGGAGAGUUCGCCCCUUGUAGCUGCUUUGCUCAGACCAGGAGCACUGUGUCCCGGAUCCAUGGACUCUUCGUGAUCCAGAAUGGUUCCCACCUGGUGUGGCCCCCCAAGUUCCCCACGGCUGCCCAGGACCGUGAAUAUGACAAGACGUCACACCUGGGUUUACGACACAUGACCCGGGGUUGGCAGCUGAACUUGGUCUCUCCGAAAAUCACGUGUUGGGGUUCCAACCCCCCAGUGCCUCAGAAGGUGGCCUUGUGUGGAAGUGGGGUCAUGACAGGUCAUGAGGUCAUCAAGGGGGCCCCUGCUCCCACAUGACUGGCGCCCUUUUAUAAAGUGGAAUUUGGAGGCAGGCAGAGAGGACGUCCCCCGGCCAGGCAAGGAGAUCCAGCCCCACCAGCCCCCGCAGCCUGGGAUGUCCAGCCUCCGGGAUGGGAGACCCAUGUUCCCCUCGUUCGAGCUGCCCUAUCAGCGCUGCUUCCUUGCUCGGCAGAGGGAUUCUGCCUUAUAAUUAAGGAGACUACAUCCACGACCUCUGAGUCAAUCAGAAGGAGAGUCUCUGGGUGGGCCCCGUCUUGCGCACGAGCCCUUUGAAAGCAGGACAUUUUCUCUGGCAGGACGCCGAGGAGGAGGAGGUUUGGGGCCUGGGGCCUCUGGCACACCCUGCCUGGUGUUACAGACGGGGGGCCGCAAGCCGAGCAGCGAGGCAGCCCUUAGGAACAGAGUAGAUGGCAGCCAGCAGGAACAGGGCCCGGCCCACCACCGCGGGGGUCUGGAUGAGCUGCAGGCGAGAGCCCAGCCCCACUGACGCAGCCGCAGCCUCGUGAGCCCCCCGGGGACAGACGGAGCCAGGCUGCGCUCGGACUUGCACUCACAGCACCGUGUGGGGUGAGGCGUUGCCUGCAGCAGCGAAGUCAGUGGCGGCUUGUUAUGCAGCAAAGGCAGCUGAUACGUGAGGCCUCUCCUACGGGAGUCCCGUUGUCCACGUGCGUCCAGCUGCUCCUUCCAGGGCGCCUCAGCCCGUCCCUCUGCCUCUAAUUUCCUCACACGCUGGCUCUUGGGUCCGAAGGCCCCGUGGACCGAACACGAAGAACUUGGGUGAGAGAACUUUUUAGGUGACACUGUGGUCACCAUGUGGCCUUGUGGGCUGGUUGUCCCUCCACUGCCAUAGCUGGGUUAGGGCCGGCCGCGCAGCCCUGCUCCGGUGCCCCGUGUGGACCCCGCGUGCGUCUAAGGACUGUGGCCCCAGGAGCAUCCUCGUGGGACCCUGCCACCUGCCUUGUCUGCAUCUCGGUUAGCCACGCUCUUCUGCAAGGGCUGCUUCUCCCCGUGGAGGGGAGCCGGGCGCACACCCUGUCACGUAACUGCUGCUGAAAACGCAGGAAAACGCGCGCCGUCCUCUCUCUCUAAUCACCAGUUUCGGGAGCAAGGCACGUGUCCUGGCAGCCUCAGCCCUGACCCCCGCGGGGCUGCUUCUCUGAGCCUCCUUGUGGGUACGAGGUAUUCAGCUGUGGAGUCACAGAGAUUCAGCAGUGUCCCCCAGCACGCCCACACCCCAGUCCCCGGUACCUGGGGUGCGUCACCUCUGCUGGUAAGAGGGACUUCGCGGACGUGAUGAGGUGCAGGCUCUUGACGGGGGCUCCUGGAUCGUCGCAGUGGCCCCAUGGUGUCAUAGGGUCCUCGGAGAAGGGAGGGGGAGGGACUGAAGCCGAGGUCAGAGCAGCGUGAGGACGGGACCCCGAGAAACUGGCGGAGGUGGGGGACUCCCCCGGAGCCUCCAGAAGGAACCAGCCCUGCCCAUACUUGGAUUUUGGGACUCUGGGCCCCAGGAUUAUGAGAUGGUAAAUUUGCGUUUUUCUGAGGCACUAAAUUUGGGGUGAUCUGUCACAGCAGCGGCAGGAAACUUCUCCACCGUGAUUUAAUCAUUGCCCGUCCUGGUGCUCUGCUGUCCCUGCCAGGUCCAGCGAGAGCUCUUCCAGCUGGGAUCUGUAUCGUGCUCCCCGACUUCUCUCUAUUGUGGAUGAUACAGAUAACGCAGAAUUUACCAUCUUAACUGUUUUUAAGGGCACAGUUCAGGACAUCUGCACAUUCACGUUGUGCAGCCAUCCCCAGAAUGCAUUCAUCUUCCCAAACUAAACUGUCCCUGUGAAACACUGUCCCCUCCCUCAGCCGCAGCCCCAGCCCGCCCCCCGGGUCUGUGGGUCCGACUCCUCUGGCCUCCUGGGCGUUUCCAUUCAUACAGAAUUGGUCCCUGUGUGCCGGGCCGGCCUCACUGGGCACCAUGUCCUCCAGCUUCAUCCACGUAGUAGCAGGUGUCAGGAUUCCUUGCUUUGAAAGGCUGGGGGGUAGUCCGUGGUGUGGAUGGGCCACCGUGGCUGCAGCAUCUCGCAUUCCCAGCAACAGAGCCCAGGGUUCCCAUUUCUCCACGUCUGUGCCAGCACCUUUAUUUUCUGUGUGUCGAUAGCAGCCAUCCCGGCGAGUGCGAGGUGGUAUCUCGUUGUCGUUUUGACUCGCACUUCCUGGUGACUGGCAGUGUUGCGCGUCUUUCCGUGGGCUCGCUGGCCCCAGGCUGCAGCCCAGGCACCGCCCCAACCAGGCGACAGUGACCGCCGUCGGGACAGCUCCAGUUCACCUCUUCUGACGUGGGGCUGUGGGCCUCACCUGCUCCCAGCUCCCUCUCCAGCCCAGCCGCCCCGUCCCCCACGAGACGGCGUCCGGCAGGCCCUUGAAGAGUGCCCAGAACGGAUCUGGAGCCCACCGCGCCUGCUCCUCCUGUCCGCCCCAUUUCCUCAGCCCUGAUGGAUUCCCCCGCCAUCCAGUCCUCCAGAAGCCUGGCUACUUCCACCCGGCCUCUCCCCCUCUGCCCGGCCCAGGCCCUCUUGGCACAGAAGAUGCAAAGUGACCACCCCCUCCGCAGGGCUGCUCUUGGUAGGGGCGGUAGGGGUGAAGCAGCGUUGGCCGCGCUUGAGAAAAGCGAGCCUGCUGUUUUCAUCCGCCCCUCCCGCCGCGGCCAUGGGGCUCGAGCUUGUCCGGCCCCAGUGGGAGCAGGCAGUUUGGGACACUCCUCGCGGUGUGCCACGGCCAGGGAAGGCGGCGUCUCGGGCCACUGCCCUGUGGCUGUGGGGGGGCGGUCUCUCCUCCACACACAGGGACCAGGGACCGUAUACUAAACUGGAUGAUCAUUUUCGAAAUAAACCAAACCUUAUGUAAGUGCUGCAGUGGCCAGCUGGAAGGGCCUCUGCCACCCACCGCAUACGGAACGGCGCCGACAGUUGCCUGGUGGUCAUGUCAUACCGAACGCUGGAAAAACCUUCCCUCGUCACCUCUUAUCCUGGACCUCAGAAGCCAUCGCCACAUGAGGACUGAAGGCUCUCCCAAAAUCCAGAAACAGGAGAACACACGGCAGCCGCAGUGGAUGGGCCAGAUGUGUGGGCUUCCCUGCCGUGGACGGGACGCAUUGGCCGGCGUUGCCCAGGGACUGCGAGCUCGUGUCCUGUCUGCAGACCAUCCGUAAGCCAGACAAGCUGGAGCCGCUUGACCACUGUGGAGGACAGCCGGGCGUCUCAGCCCCUCCUGCACCC